rnacentral:rRNA from 1 species
AUGACAAAGUCACGCUGGCAAGACCGCCCUCUGGGCGCGCCUCCAGGACGCCAUCUCCCACCACUCCUUCGACACCCUGCUCUACCGCGUAAGCACCCCUCCCUCCUCCUCCUCCUUUCAAUAGCCUUCUUCCACCUGCCCCUGACUGACCUCCUCCUCCGCGUGCAGCUCACCGUCCCGGAUCUCCGCCCCGGCAUGCUCAGCUCCCUGCUCGCCCUCAAUGACAACCUCGACAAGGUACCUGCUUGCCCCCAUCCUGAUCUUGCCUCCGACCCCUCUACUCUUACCACUAGCCUGAUCCGGCCCUGGAUGCAGUCCAACAUCUUCAUCGAGGGCGUCUCGCACAAGAUCCGUCGACAGAUCGAGGACCUGGAGCGCGUCGGAGGGAUCGAGCCCGGCACCCUCACUGUCGUCGGCGUCCCCGUCGACAGCUACCUCACCAGGUUCGUCUCUGCCUGUGCCCAGUGCUGCUGCUUACAUUCCUCAUCUGCCCACCAGCGCUUUCUUAUCUGGCGAGGAUGGAUGGAUGGAUGCAGCAUCCAGUCCCAGGUCGCCAAGAUUGAGGAUGACAUGAAGCUAACUCUGCUCCUCUGUCUCUCCAUUACUCCAGUUCUUCUUCAUGUUGACCAAAUCACACAUGGAUGCCAGUAUAGCGGCGCUGUUGGUUCCUUGAGGCCAGGUCGAGUUCAGCUGAUCCACCUCAUGGUCUCUGCUUCAUUCUGUUCAUUAAGUGGUCUUCUUGAUGCCUCAUAUAACUACUUGUUGAACUAG